rnacentral:rRNA from 1 species
GACGUAGGGGGCGAGCGUUGUCCGGAUUUAUUGGGCGUAAAGCGUGCGUAGGCGGCUGCGCAAGUCGGGUGUGAAACCCCGGGGCUCAACCCCGGAACUGCAUCCGAUACUGCGUGGCUAGAGGUAGGUAGGGGAGAUCGGAAUUCCUGGUGUAGCGGUGAAAUGCGUAGAUAUCUGGAGGAACACCGGUGGCGAAGGCGGCAUCCUGGACCGGUAUUGACGCUGAGGCGCGAAAGCCAGGGGAGCAAACGGG